rnacentral:rRNA from 1 species
AUUGAACGCUGGCGGCAGGCUUAACACAUGCAAGUCGAGCGGAGAGAGGUAGCUUGCUACUGAUCUUAGCGGCGGACGGGUGAGUAAUGCUUAGGAAUCUGCCUAUUAGUGGGGGACAACAUUUCGAAAGGAAUGCUAAUACCGCAUACGUCCUACGGGAGAAAGCAGGGGAUCUUCGGACCUUGCGCUAAUAGAUGAGCCUAAGUCGGAUUAGCUAGUUGGUGGGGUAAAGGCCUACCAAGGCGACGAUCUGUAGCGGGUCUGAGAGGAUGAUCCGCCACACUGGGACUGAGACACGGCCCAGACUCCUACGGGAGGCAGCAGUGGGGAAUAUUGGACAAUGGGCGCAAGCCUGAUCCAGCCAUGCCGCGUGUGUGAAGAAGGCCUUAUGGUUGUAAAGCACUUUAAGCGAGGAGGAGGCUACUUUAGUUAAUACCUAGAGAUAGUGGACGUUACUCGCAGAAUAAGCACCGGCUAACUCUGUGCCAGCAGCCGCGGUAAUACAGAGGGUGCAAGCGCUAAUCGGAUUUACUGGGCGUAAAGCGCGCGUAGGCGGCUAAUUAAGUCAAAUGUGAAAUCCCCGAGCUUAACUUGGGAAUUGCAUUCGAUACUGGUUAGCUAGAGUGUGGGAGAGGAUGGUAGAAUUCCAGGUGUAGCGGUGAAAUGCGUAGAGAUCUGGAGGAAUACCGAUGGCGAAGGCAGCCAUCUGGCCUAACACUGACGCUGAGGUGCGAAAGCAUGGGGAGCAAACAGGAUUAGAUACCCUGGUAGUCCAUGCCGUAAACGAUGUCUACUAGCCGUUGGGGACUUUGAGGCUUUAGUGGCGCAGCUAACGCGAUAAGUAGACCGCCUGGGGAGUACGGUCGCAAGACUAAAACUCAAAUGAAUUGACGGGGGCCCGCACAAGCGGUGGAGCAUGUGGUUUAAUUCGAUGCAACGCGAAGAACCUUACCUGGCCUUGACAUAGUAAGAACUUUCCAGAGAUGGAUUGGUGCCUUCGGGAACUUACAUACAGGUGCUGCAUGGCUGUCGUCAGCUCGUGUCGUGAGAUGUUGGGUUAAGUCCCGCAACGAGCGCAACCCUUUUCCUUAUUUGCCAGCGAGUAAUGUCGGGAACUUUAAGGAUACUGCCAGUGACAAACUGGAGGAAGGCGGGGACGACGUCAAGUCAUCAUGGCCCUUACGGCCAGGGCUACACACGUGCUACAAUGGUCGGUACAAAGGGUUGCUACCUAGCGAUAGGAUGCUAAUCUCAAAAAGCCGAUCGUAGUCCGGAUUGGAGUCUGCAACUCGACUCCAUGAAGUCGGAAUCGCUAGUAAUCGCGGAUCAGAAUGCCGCGGUGAAUACGUUCCCGGGCCU